UGAGCCCUUGGGUCGUCCCCGUUGCAGCUAAGUUGUGCUGUGAAUGAAAAACACAGCCAGAACGCCAGUACCUCCUCUGUGGGACAGUAUCAGAAACCAGCUUUCAAGGGAAGAUCCUGCUGUCUGCACGCUGAGGACCCCAACAAAAGAAUUAAGGUCGAGCCACAAAAUUUGUAAAACCUGUCAAAAGAAGACAAAUCAAUAGUAGGCAAGAAAGAAUGAGGCAAAGGGGAAAUGAC